AUUUCUACAACAACAAACAAUCCAACAUCAAAAGCUGUAACUUCAGCAUCCACAGCUCUCACUUCAACAACAGUGCCUGCAUCUUCAGAAACAACUGCACCUGUAACAACUUCAGUAACUACAGCAUCCUCAACUACUGAAAUUCCUACAACCACAGUUGUGAGUACAGAAACCACACCUAUUACUUCAACAGUGGUGCAUUCAACUUCAGAAAGUACAACACUAGAAACCACGACUACAGCUUCAUCAUCCACACCUGCAACAACAAACAAUCCAACAACAUCAACAGUUGUACCUUCAGAAUCCACAACUCUCACUUCAACAACAUUGCCUACAUCUUCAGAAACAACUGCACCUGUAAAAACAUCAGUAACUACAGCAUCCUCAACUUCUGAAAUUCCCACAAGCACAGUUGUGAGUAAAGAAACCACACCUAUUACUUCAACAGUGGUGCCUACAACUUCAGAGAGUACAACAGCAGAAACCACGACUACAGCUUCAUCAUCCACACCUGCAACAACAAACAAUCCAACAACAUCAACAGUUAUACCUUCAGAAUCCUCAACUCUCACUUCAACAACAUUGCCUACAUCUUCAGAAACAACUGCACCUGUAACAACUUCAGUAACUAAAGCAUCCUCAACUAUCAAAAUUUCCACAACCACAGCUGUGAGUACAGAAACCACACCUAUUACUUCAACAGUGUUGCCCACAACUUUGAAGAGUACAACAGCUGAAACCAUGACUACAGCUUCAUCAACCACACCUACAAAAACGAACAAUCCAACAACAUCAACAUUUGUAACUUCUGAAUCUACAACUCCUACUUCAACAGUUAUAGCUACAUCUUCAGAAACAACUACACCUCUAACAAAAUCAGUAACUACAGCAUCCUCAACUACUGAAAUUCCCACAACCACAGUUGUGAGUACUGAAUCCAUAACUCUUACUUCAACAGCUAAGCCUACAUCUUCAGAAUCUACUGCAACUGUAACAUCAGUAACUACAGUAUCCUCAAAAACCUAUAUUCCCACAACCACGGUUGUGAGAACAGAAACCACACCUAUCAUUUCGACAGUGGUGCCUACAACUUCAGAGAGUACAACGGCAGAAGCUAUGACUACGGCUUCAUCAACUAUAUUUACAGCAAAGAACACUCCAACAACAUCAACAGCUGUAACUUCAGAAUCCUCAACUCUCACUUCAACAACAGUGCCUACAUCUUCAGAAACAACUGCACCUGUAACAACAUCAGUAACUACAGCUUCCUCACCUACAACUGUACCUUCCUCUAUGACAUCAGCUCCAAUGUCAUCUGAAGCUCCAAGUACAACAACAUCUAAAACCACAUUGCUGCUUGCAACCACAUCUACUGGAGCUCUCACAUCCACUGUUGUGACUUCAGGAGCAACAACUCUUACGUCUACAACAAUGCCUACAACAUCAGAAAGUACAACUACACCUGCAGCAAGCACAACUGCAGCUUCCACAGCCACAGUGGGGCCAUCCACUACUGUGACUACAGCUUCCGAAAUUACAACUGCAUCUUCAACAUCUACAGCUUCCUCAGCUGCGAUAGUGCAUUCUACUACUACAUCAUCAUCUCCAACCUCAUCUGAAUCUCGAGGUACAGCAACUAAUUAUCCAACAACAUCAACAGCUGUAAUUUCAACAACAAUGGCUACAUCUUCAGAAACAUCUGCACCUGUAACAACAUCAGUAACUACAGCUUCCUCAUCUAUAAAUGUACCUUCCUCUAUGACAUCAGCUCCAAUGUCAUCUGAAGCUCCAAGUGCAACAACAGCUCAAACCACAAUGCCACUUGCACCUGCAACUACUGAAACACUCACAAUCACCAAAAUGACUUCAGAAACCACAACUGCACCAACAACAUCGAUAACUACAACGUCCACAACUACCACUGUAGCUUCAACGACAACAGCAGCUUCUCUUGCAACAACCACAACUACAGCUUCCAUCACCACAACCAUUCCUUCCACUUCUACAUCAGAUCAAACCACACCUAAGGCUGCAAGUACAACAUCAAAAGGUCCGAACACAAAUUCAGAAAGUAUAACUUCACCUGCUGUAACCACAGAUUCCACAACCAUGAUGGAAUAUUCAACUACUACAUCAAGUUUAACCCCAGCCACAACUACUGAAACCUCAACUCUUACUUCACCAACAAUGUCUACAACUUCAGAAAGUACUCCUGCACCUGCAACAUCCACCAUUACAGCUUCCUCUUCUACGAAUAACUAUCCCACAACAGAAAAUCCAUCUCAAACCUCAACUUCAAUUCCAGGCACAAACACACCUACAGCGGCAACAACAACUGCAUUCCGAAUAACAACUGCACCUCUAUCAACCACAACUAUUGCUUUCACUAAUACAGCUCCAGCUCUAAGCCAAGCAGGACUCCUUACCACAACAAAUGCACCUCCAAUUAUCACAACUGUGUCUCCGGAGACUGUAACUAUUGCUGUAACAAUUAUGCCUAUCUCAUCAUCACAUGUAACUAUAUCCCCAACUUUAACUCCAAUAAAAACAACUGAACCUCCAAGAACCCCAACUACACCCAUUACAACCAUGACUGUUCUUCCCACCACUACAGUUCCAGCUGAUAUCUCAACUACAGCUCCAACCACAACAACAGCCACUAUUCCAAGUUCAACUGCAGCUCAAACAACAACUGCAUUUCAAGUAACAACAGGAGAUCUUUUAAGAACAACUGUAGCUUUUACCAACACAUCUUCUGCUCCAGCCACACUUGCACUUUCAACCAAAACAACUCCAAUCCCAAACAUGGAUUCAGAAACUACAACUGCAUCAACAACUACAACUGGAAUUAAUACAGGUCUCACCAGUGCAGCAGAAUUUCCAAUAGCUCCAAUAACAUCAGUUUCAAACACAAAUGCAUCAACAUCCCCAGCAUCUACAAUUCCAAGUCAAUCAUCAAUCAAAACAACACCAGCUGAAACUCUUUCUAGCAAUACUACACCUCUAAACAAUGCAACAAAAGCAGAUGCAUCUGCAACACUUCAAAGUACUUCAAGUUUGCAACCAGAAACUUCAAACAUACCCAAAACAUUGUCAACAAAUGUGACUGGUGCAGCAACAGUCACAACCAUAUUGGUAUUCUCAUCCUUGUCGUCAGUGCCCAAUGAAAAUUUGGUCCUAGGUGCUAUCAGUACUCUUCUGGAAUCUAGACAGUCCCAACUCAAUGGAUCACUGAAGAUUGUAAAAUUUACUUAUCAGAAAAUCUCAGAAACCUCCUAUGCUGUGGUCUUUACAUUUAACGUGAUUAACAUCAGCAUGCCAGAGGACCCUGUGUCUAGAGGCAACACCAACCAGAAAGUGCAGGAUACCAUCAAUAAUGCGCUGAACACUCUUCUGAAUGAACCUGGAAGUCCAACUUUACAACCAAAGUCCUCCAACUUCACAAGCACUUCAAACCAGAUUGAUGGCAGAAUGGAAUACACCUUCCAGGAUGGAGAUGUCAUACAACCAGUCAGCUUCCUCAAUGAGCUUCGUUCACAGACAGUCUUAACGACAGCCAGCACUCUGACAACUACUCCACUGAUAGUGCGUGGCAAAGCGCUUAUAUUCAUUCGCCUCGUGUUUGUCACACUGGGCCCCCUGCCAAAUCCAGAGAAGGUUCUUGAGGUGGCCAACACUCUGCUUCAGACGCGUCUCAAAACUAAACAAGACACCAGUACUCAAGACCUGAGUGAUCCUGUGAGCUUUGUCAAUGUCACAUAUACAAAAAUAAAUGAGACGGCCUAUGCUCUCAACUUUGGAUUUGAAAUCAGCAAUAUAACCAUGACAGAGAAGCUUGAACUCAGGAAUGGCACCCACCUGUUAAUACAAGACUCUAUAAACUCAUUGCUGGGCAAGAUCCUUCUCAGUAACUCAUCAGCGCCUAUCAUUAAGUUCCAACCAGCUGAUUUCACGGGUAAUUCCACAGUAAUUAAGGCCAAUGUAGAGUAUGUUUUCUCACCAAGUGACAUCACGCAACCCAGCAUCUUUGUUCAGGAACUUCUCCAACUUAAUGAAGCGAGCACUCUGACAAGCACAACUUCACCACCGAUCUUGACUAGGAGGGCAAUUAUUAAGAUUCGUCUGGAGUUUAUCACACUGGGCCCAAGACCAAGUGAGAGUAAUGUUCUACAGGUGGUUAAAUCUAUGCUGGCCACAAAUCUCACAACUAAACUAACCACGAGAGUAACAAGCGUGAGCGAACCUGUGACCUUGAAUAAUGUUGUGUAUAUCGGAAUUAAUGACACCGCCUACGCACUGAUUUUUGCAUUCGAAAUGAACAAAGUAUUACUGACAGAGAUACAAAGGCAAGAAGCCUACAAAGAAAUCCAAAACAAGAUAAAUGAUUUGGUGAAGCAGAUACUAAAGGACCCCUCGGUUAAUCUGCUCAUUCCAGCCGAUUUCAAGGAUGAUCUCCUUGUGAUCGAGGCCAAUGUUACGUAUGUUUUCUCAGAACGUAACAGUAACACGGGCUCCGGUUUCUUGGUCAGUGCCCUUUUCAAGGCUUUUACCACACCAGCUCCAACCACCAUGAACACUACAAUCUCAAACAACAGUACUAAUGCAGCAUGGAUUGUGGCUAUCAUUGUCCCCUGUGCUAUUGUCAUCGGGCUCGUACCUUGCUGGAUUCUCCUUUGCUGUUUGCUGUGUGGUUGCUGUGCAGCAAUCAGAAGACGCUGGCACAGAAGACAGUCGUACAAUGUGCAGUACACCACUCGAAACAGUCUCUUCUAAAGAGUUCUGAGAUAUUUGACAAAAGCAGGACUGAAAACCAAUGAGAACAUAAAAAUCAUGGAUUUUGGAUAUUCAAUAUGCUAUCAAUACUGCUUCUUUUGUAGUAUUGAAAGUACUAUGUUAAUGCUUCUUUAUAAACUAUUUAUUUUAUUAUCCUAGACAAACAGGUCCUCCAUAAAAUAUUCCUUAAUGUGACAUUUUAAUACGUCCUAUAGUCUAUAA
ensembl:lncRNA